rnacentral:rRNA from 1 species
CAGCAGCCGCGGUAAUACGAAGGGGGCUAGCGUUGCUCGGAAUGACUGGGCGUAAAGGGCGCGUAGGCGGAUUGUUUAGUUAGGCGUGAAAUUCCUGGGCUUAACCUGGGGACUGCGCUUAAUACAGGCAGUCUAGAGUGAGGAAGAGGGUUGUGGAAUUCCCAGUGUAGAGGUGAAAUUCGUAGAUAUUGGGAAGAACACCGGUGGCGAAGGCGGCAACCUGGUCCUUGACUGACGCUGAGGCGCGAAAGCGUGGGGAGCAAACAGGAUUAGAGACCCCUGUAGUCCCUGUCUCUUAUAC